CAAAACCAUACAAUGUGAAGCUAAAUGGGUUCAAGUUCAUAGAUGAUUGGGAAGAUUUUUUUCAAGGCUCAUAAACUGAGUAUGGAAUCUCUAACCCAUUUGACAUCAACCCAAUCCUGAUGGUGCCUCAACUGAGAAUGGUCAUAUUAAUCAACUGUUCUGACCUUUAUUUGAAGAAGCCGAUAUACUUUGUCAAGAUCCAAGAUUUCAGCAUCAACGUCUUGGAUCAAGCUGUAACUUUAAACCUUUGGACAGUUAAAGAUGGCCAAAGAAGAUUUAUUUGGCGAUCUUAGUACUUAUUUCAUCAUCGUAGAUGAUGAUUGAAGAAGAAGGUCAAUAUGAAGAGCUUUUGGUGAUGAUAUUGUUAUAUGAAGAACAAGGUCACGUGAAGAACAUGGAAUUGGGCUGAGAUUCAUCGUCUAUUUCAAAAAAAAUAGAACUCUUUUCUUGAGAAUACUUUUGUUUGUACAUUUUUUAUGGUUAUACUUUUGUUUCUUGAGAAUAGAACUUGUUCAGAGUCUGAACUUCAGA